rnacentral:miRNA from 10 species
AACCACAGCCAAGGGAAUGGGCUUGGCGGAGUCAUUGGGAAAAGAAGACCCUGUCGAGCUUGAUUGUAGUCUGG